rfam:Monodelphis domestica chromosome 3, whole genome shotgun sequence.
UCAGCUUUGGUGCAGUAGGUAGCACUUCAGUCCCACAAGCUGAAGGUCCCGAGUUCGAUCCUUGAAAGGAGGG